GAUGAACGCUGGCGGCGUGCCUAAUACAUGCAAGUCGAGCGAACAGACGAGGAGCUUGCUCCUCUGACGUUAGCGGCGGACGGGUGAGUAACACGUGGAUAACCUACCUAUAAGACUGGGAUAACGUCGGGAAACCGGAGCUAAUACCGUAUAAUAUAUUGAACCGCAUGGUUCAAGAGUGAAAGACGGUUUUGCUGUCACUUAUAGAUGGAUCCGCGCCGCAUUAGCUGGUUGGUAAGGUAACGGCUUACCAAGGCAACGAUGCGUAGCCGACCUGAGAGGGUGAUCGGCCACACUGGAACUGAGACACGGUCCAGACUCCUAAGGGAGGCAGCAGUAGGGAAUCUUCCGCAAUGGGCGAAAGCCUGACGGAGCAACGCCGCGUGAGUGAUGAAGGUCUUCGGAUCGUAAAACUCUGUUAUUAGGGAAGAACAAAUGUGUAAGUAAAUAUGCACGUCUUGACGGUACCUACUCAGAAAGCCACGGCUAACUACGUG
rnacentral:rRNA from 1 species